GGAAGUGCCAGCCCAGAAGGAAGUAGAGGCAAUGCCUCGUGGCCCAAGGCAGGAUGAUGGACAGAACAGGGGGUCACUCAGAUGCCAACCUGGACCCUCCCCAGAGGCCCGUAUCUACAGGCAGGACACCAAGCGGGAAUGUCCCUCAAGCCAGCGAGUCGAUGCAACUAGUAUACUAGCUAUGCCGGACCCAGGACGACCCACUCAUUCCAUCAGCAGCGUUUGUCGAAUGUCUACCACAUCCCAGAAGCGCUGCCAGCUACUUCCCUCGGGAUACAACAGGGAACAAACAGACAACAAGCCCUGUCUUCAUGGGAUUGAGUCUGAUGAGGAAGGAGACUGUCAACAAGACCAAGAGUAAAUCACUGAGGAUGGUAAUGAGCGCUACGGGGUGCGGGUGGGGGGGCGGACAGGAAAGGGGGAUGGAGAGGUUGGUGGGCAAGCCUGGAGGAGGUGAUACAGGACAGACUUGGAUAAAGGGAGGCAGCAGAGCUCCCAGGUCUG
rnacentral:lncRNA from 1 species